rnacentral:rRNA from 1 species
GAUGAACGCUGGCGGCGUGCCUAAUACAUGCAAGUCGAACGAAACUUCUUUAUCACCGAGUGCUUGCACUCACCGAUAAAGAGUUGAGUGGCGAACGGGUGAGUAACACGUGGGCAACCUGCCCAAAAGAGGGGGAUAACACUUGGAAACAGGUGCUAAUACCGCAUAACCAUAGUUACCGCAUGGUAACUAUGUAAAAGGUGGCUAUACUACCGCUUUUGGAUGGGCCCGCGACGCAUUAGCUAGUUGGUAGGGUAAAGGCUUACCAAGGCAAUGAUGCGUAGCCGAAUUGAGAGGUUGAUCGGCCACAUUGGGACUGAGACACGGCCCAAACUCCUACGGGAGGCAGCAGUAGGGAAUCUUCCACAAUGGGCGAAAGCCUGAUGGAGCAACGCCGCGUGGGUGAAGAAGGUCUUCGGAUCGUAAAACCCUGUUGUUAGAGAAGAAAGUGCGUGAGAGUAACUGUUCACGUUUCGACGGUAUCUAACCGGAAAGCCACGGCUAACUACGUG